GAUGAAGAACGUAGCGAAAUGCGAUAAGUAGUGUGAAUUGCAGAAUUCCGUGAAUCAUCGAAUCUUUGAACGCACAUUGCGCCCCCUGGUAUUCCGGGGGGCAUGCCUGUCCGAGCGUCAUUACAACCCUCAAGCUCAGCUUGGUGUUGGGCCCCGCCGCCCCGGCGGGCCCUAAAGUCAGUGGCGGUGCCGUCCGGCUCCGAGCGUAGUAAUUCUUCUCGCUCUGGAGGUCCGGUCGUGUGCUCGCCAGCAACCCCCAAUUUUUUUCAGGUUGACCUCGGAUCAGGUAGGGAUACCCGCUGAACUUAAGCAUAUCAAUAAGCGGAGGA
rnacentral:misc_RNA from 1 species